CGGGCUGUAGCGCAGCUUGGUUAGCGCGCCUGACUGGGGGUCAGGAGGUCGACGGUUCAAAUCCGUCCAGCCCGA
rnacentral:tRNA from 1 species